AGAAAAUAAACAAUAAAAACUGUCUAAAAGAGAGUUGUUGAGAGAAUUUCUCAACCAGAAAUUAACAGCGGCUGCUGAGGAGAUAUUUGGGGUCGUUGAAAAAACGAUAGCAGAGUACCAGGUAGACAUGUUCCGUACGAAAGAGGAGAACGAACGUCUUCGUGGGCUGUUGAUGUUGUACAAAGGAGGUACAUGCUGAGUUUCAGAGAAUCACCAACCAGAGCCUGCAGCAGACGUUCUACGCUGCCUUAGACCACCACACACCCCGCCUGCUGACCCUGUUCAGGGAGAAGGGGGGGAAGUCCACCACCCAUGGAGGGAAUUCUCAAGCAUCCUGAGAGUGUACAAUGAGCAGUUCACUUCACAGGGAGAAAAGAACAUCACCGUGGCCCGUUCUGCAGUCCUGGCUGGUCUCCCUUUGUUGUUACGAGAGGAUAGUUCUGAUGUCUUCAAAAUCUGCGAGGUGGGAGAACUCAGCAACCCUGGUAUUCUGGAUGGAGUUUCCAUUCUCUCAGUGGUGGGCCAGCACAAUGAGGUGGUGGGUGGUAUACCCAUCAGACCAGCCCAUGUAUCCAUUGUCCUUGAGGAUAAGAUCGUCAUGACUAACUCCUGCUCCUGGCCAGACGCUCUCAUGGUUGUUUUUGGGCUACUCUACUCCCUCCAUCUGAACUACCCCAAGGCCCUGGGCAGCACCUUUGAGUUCAUGCAGAAAGUCUUCCUGAACCUCGACGAUGGAAAGCUGAAGCCCAAGCUGCUAGCACUGAAAAAUGAACUGUUGGCCUAAUUCAGUGACCUCCUAUAUGCCGAGUGAGUGGUUUGAAAACAAUGGUUGUUUUUGUUUGGUUUGCUUUUUAUAUUUUUGUACCUUUUUUGUGAAUGGAUUUGAUGUUGUAUUUCAAUUAACUUAUAACCCUUUUAUGUGCAAAGAAGACACAGGUCAGUCAACACAUUAACUUAUCAAAUCAAGUUUAUUUUAUAUAGCCCUUCGUACAUCAGCUAAUAUCUCGAAGUGCUGUACAGA